AUUGAACGCUGGCGGCAUGCCUUACACGUGCAAGUCGAACGGCAGCAUGAUCUAGCUUGCUAGAUUGAUGGCGAGUGGCGAACGGGUGAGUAAUACAUCGGAACGUGCCCUGUAGUGGGGGAUAACUAGUCGAAAGAUUAGCUAAUACCGCAUACGACCUGAGGGUGAAAGUGGGGGACCGCAAGGCCUCAUGCUAUAGGAGCGGCCGAUGUCUGAUUAGCUAGUUGGUGAGGUAAAGGCUCACCAAGGCGACGAUCAGUAGCUGGUCUGAGAGGACGAUCAGCCACACUGGGACUGAGACACGGCCCAGACUCCUACGGGAGGCAGCAGUGGGGAAUUUUGGACAAUGGGCGAAAGCCUGAUCCAGCAAUGCCGCGUGUGUGAAGAAGGCCUUCGGGUUGUAAAGCACUUUUGUCCGGAAAGAAACGGCUCUGGUUAAUACCUGGGGUCGAUGACGGUACCGGAAGAAUAAGGACCGGCUAACUACGUG
rnacentral:rRNA from 1 species